UAGACUGCCAUACGGUAUACAGAGGCAUAUAGGAGCUUAUAUACUGAAUUUUUUUGGCAAAAAUAAUUGGGUAUGCAUUGCAUACCCUUGCAUUAGCCUAGCUCCGCCCCUGCCGGCGAGCCUCGCCAACGCGCAGCACAGAUCCGAGCCCCCUGCCUCCGCUCUUCCCUUCCCUCCGGCCAGAUCCGCCUCUCGUGGCCCCGAGAGCUCAGCCACGACCCCUUCCGAUGGCUAGGGUUCCGAGGGUGGCGUCCCCUCCAACUCCGGCGCGGCGACGGCGACUCUGCUCCGCCCUCUCCGAAGCCCACCGCAAGUCCCAUGGGCGGCUCCGCCUCGUGGAUGGUACUCCUGCACCCGGUGGCUGCGGGGCGGACGCGCACAGCGGGUAAACUCCGGCGAGGCGGUGGCUCCCUCCGGCGGCUCCCUCCACGGCAUGACGGCGGUGCACUGCAUCGGCUAAAGCACCACCAUGGUUGACAAAAAUGCUCUGCAUCUUGAGAAGCAAAUAUCUUAAAACUUUGACUUGGAUCUCGACGGCGACGGCAUCCAACGAACACAAGGUCGCUCCCAACCAACAAGUUUUUUUCUUCCAAGUUAAUAAUGUGGAUUGUGACGUUUGUCUGUGCACUGAUUUUCAGAGUGGAUGGCUGUACCAUUUAAUUUUGAUUACUAGCACUAGUAGUUGUAUUCAGUGUGAGCUGGAAGACUAACUGAUUCAGUUUUCGAAGCCAUCUUUGCUGUUCUGGUUGUGUUUGCACA